UCAAAAACAAGUAGGGAAAUUA
rnacentral:piRNA from 1 species